ensembl:lncRNA
CACACACACACACACACACACACACACACACCCUCCUCGUCCAUCAUCGCCACUGGGUGAGAGAGAAAAAAAAGAAAGGGAGAGAAAAAACUAUUCCAGACUCUGGGAGCUAAACGGUGCACUUUCUUUUUUUGGUGCUGUAGUAGUAGACGUUAUGGGAAAGUUCUCUCUUCCAUAUGCGGCUCUCCCCUCCCGCCCUCGUCUUCUCCUCGCCGGUCGUGUGCUCGGAGUAUGCUCAGCGGCUCCUUUUGCACAGGGCCAGUGAAGCUCGCGUAACUUUAGGGCCACUCACAUGUUGGCGGCAACUUUAAAGUGAUGGCCGUAAAACGCUGGAUAUUUCGAAGGGGAACGUCGCUCUCCUGCCGCACGGGACGAUUUCUGAUCGAUGGGACCGAACGCGGAGUCUUGUGUCACACGGCGUCAGGAAUGUUGGAGAUAUACAGCUGUGAAGAAUUGCUGCGCUGAUGGAGUGGAAGCCAGGCUAGACAUUUCUUGGAUUUUGCUUUCCAAUGGACGUCUUUACAAGGGCGCUGUGCAUACGUUGAAUUACGCAUACGUUUUACGGCAUUGAUCUAUGAACCAGCCGAGCACAGCAAGGGCCGUUAUUAACAAAUAACAUUUGUGUUAAGCAAACAAUAACAUAUAGUACCUGAGCCAAGAAGGUGACAUUAUAACGGCGGUGAUAAAACACAAGGUAAUUUAUGACAAAAGAGAGACAGGGGGCAUGGCUUAACAUAACGUAUGCGUGUGCAUGUUCUUUCUUUUUCAUUUUUCCUUUCCGUUCCAUAAUUUCAUAUUUCAUGCUUGGAUGCAAUCCUCUCAAGACAACUAUACGUCGCAGCCGCCCGUGCCUCUUAGCGAUAGCGCAGUUCCUCCUUUUCUAGGGUUCAUCAACAAUUCCACAAAGACCCAAUAUAUUCAUUUUUUAUUCCAUUCUGACGCAUACCCCGCCCCCCUCCCUACAGUCAAACCCUUGGACCGAUGGUGGCGAUGAUUUGUCGGGAGUCAUCAUCAGUUAUGGAUGGAUUUUGUUAUAAUAUUAAAAAAAUACAGAAAAAAAAGGAUCAAACAAGCAGAUUGUCAUUGGAAUAUCCAAGUGGCAUUGUUUGGAAUAGCGAAGGCAUAGCGGAGGGUUUCUCCUGUAUCAUCGUUUUUUUUACAGGUUGAACAAAGGCAAACGCAUGUUAUAAAAUCAUGCAAAUGAAUGCAAAUCGCCGGGAGCCAGCGAAGGCUAGUGGGGUGCGGAGGGGCGGAGGGCGGGAGAGAGAGAGAGAGAGCGAGAGAGCGAGAGAGAGAGAGAGAGAGAGAGAGAGAGAGAGAGAGAGAGAGAGAGAGAGAGAGAGAGAGAGAGAGAGAGGUGCCAGGGACUGGGUAUAUACAGCAUCACUUGGGCAAAAUAUCUGCCUGCUCCAGCUGAUUUAAGAUGGGGCUGAUAAACAAAACCAAAAACAUAUAAUUUUUUUAAUCGCAUGCCAAAUCCCUUUUCCCUGUGCACUGUGUUUGUCAUAAUAUAUGCUACCUCGAGUUAUUUCAUCUGCUUGGUGGUGGGAGGUCCUGCUUAUGUGCACACAGACACAAACACACACACACACACACACACACACACACACACACACACACACACACACACACACACACACACACACACACACACACACACACACACACACUCACACACACACACACACACA